AUUGAACGCUGGCGGCAGGCCUAACACAUGCAAGUCGAGCGGUAGCACAGAGAGCUUGCUCUCGGGUGACGAGCGGCGGACGGGUGAGUAAUGUCUGGGAAACUGCCUGAUGGAGGGGGAUAACUACUGGAAACGGUAGCUAAUACCGCAUAACGUCGCAAGACCAAAGAGGGGGACCUUCGGGCCUCUUGCCAUCGGAUGUGCCCAGAUGGGAUUAGCUAGUAGGUGGGGUAACGGCUCACCUAGGCGACGAUCCCUAGCUGGUCUGAGAGGAUGACCAGCCACACUGGAACUGAGACACGGGCCAGACUCCUACGGGAGGCAGCAGUGGGGAAUAUUGCACAAUGGGCGCAAGCCUGAUGCAGCCAUGCCGCGUGUAUGAAGAAGGCCUUCGGGUUGUAAAGUACUUUCAGCGGGGAGGAAGGGAGUAAAGUCAAUACCUUUGCUCAUUGACGUUACCCGCAGAAGAAGCACCGGCUAACUCCGUGCCAGCCGCCGCCGUAA
rnacentral:rRNA from 1 species